rnacentral:misc_RNA from 1 species
CAGCCUCGCACUUGCUGCAGAUACAGAUUGCAGCACCUCUGCCUCCCUUGUUGGCAGCGGUGGUGUCGGGAGGAGUACGAAAGCAGUGGCGGAGGUAUGCGUGGGCUGCAGCUCUCUCACCACGCAUGGCGGCCGCGUUUGUCCAGCGCAGCGGCGGCUCUGCGCACAUCCAGUAGCUGCACCACGAGCACGUCAGGAGCGGCAGUUGUCAUCACCGCCUCGCGCACAAACCGAGCAACGCCUGCAGUGUACAGCACGCAGCGCUUGUACUGCACGACACAAAAGAAGAAAGGCACCAGCGACGCGGCGGACAGCCACAGCAGCACUACCGCGGGCAUCAGUGUGGGUGCUGACGCGACGAGCGACGACGCUAUGGAUCUCAUUUGGUCAGACAUGCCUGAUGUGCACGGGCCGAAUCAUGAGGCAACGUUGGCGAGCAGCCCGCAGGAGCACAGAGCUGCCACAUCGACCCGCGCGCCAAAGAGCUCGCCGCAUGAAGAGAGUCGCGCAUCCGACGCGAGCGACACAGCCGCGUCCUCGCCGCCGGCGCCACCGGUGUCGCACGUGUGGGUAUCUAUGCACAACAUGCCCCGCAACUGGCUGCAUGAAGACAUUGUGGAGAUGAUUCACCAAGUCGCCGAGCACGCAGGCAUCGCCACACCCGAGGCCCCCCGCUUGUCAGAGUCCGCUGCGGGCCGAGAAGGCGAAGAGGGGCACACCGGUGAGGGCACGAGCAGCGCGCUGAAUCACAUGUCCUCGCCGUUUGUGCGCCGCCUGCACAUUCCUUUCGGCCGCCGCACUGGUCUUGUGUACGGCAGCCCGAAGCUGCUACUCACCUCGCGGCAGCUCGCCGACUACCUCAUCCACCAACUCAGCUUCGACCCAGACGACUUCCGCAGUCGCGUGUACUUUACCCACACAAAGCCGGAAGAGUUGCCAAGUGGCUUUCAGCAGCAGCAACAGCCACACGAGGGGGGAGUUGCUGGAGGUGAUGCAGCCAACGGUGACGGGGUGGCACAGGUUACGUACACCCCGAUUGAGGAGACGGUGGAGCGGGAGCAGGACGAGGCGCUGCGCACGUUGGUGCUCGACCGCUACCUGUUCGCCCCGGACCUGCUCCUCGACAUUGCCAAGUCUCAUCAGAGGCGGCUCGUCACUAAAAACGAGAAGGUGCUGCUUGACGCCUUCGUCGACGGCGAGGAAGACAGCGAUGAUGAGGAGGAAGACGAAGAUGGCGGCGACGUCGAGGAUGACGACGCAGUAAGCGGCGGCAGCGGUGCCGACGGCGAUGCUGAAAGCGCUGCUGCGUCGCUCACGCGCCGUCAGCGGCCGCGGCAUCGGCACCGUGCCACGUCAAAGGGUGGGUCCGAUAAGAGGAAGUCGCCCCUCACACGACCUGUUAGUGCGGGAACGCAGAAGCAUCUGGGCCGGGGAUCCAUGCACAAUAUGCCCAUCCCGAAGCCGUACGUGGCGGGCCGCAAUCUGUAGCUAAUGAGUCUCUCUCUCCCUCGCAUUAGGCGAGAGAGGGAGGUCAACGGGCGUGAUUGAGCUGUAUGAGUCGACUGUGUUCCGCUGCGUGCGUGUCGCUCUUUCUCUCUGUCUCUGUGCAUGGGCGAAGGUUCGCCCAUGCACAAAAGGAGCGAGGGCUGAUUAAGUGGCGAGGAGUUGUGGGCAACUGAACAUCUACGAAGGCGCGCACGGAAAUCGACGUUCGCCUUCCCUCCUGAAAAGUGGUGUACCGUCUUCACAAGU